ACUCCUACGGGAGGCAGCAGUGGGGAAUCUUGCACAAUGCGCGAAAGCGUGAUGCAGCAACGCCGCGUGCGGGAAGACGGCCUUCGGGUUGUAAACCGCUUUCAGUUGGGACGAAGCCGGUGCGGUUAAUAGCCGUUGCGGGUGACGGUACCUUCAGAAGAAGCCCCGGCUAACUACGUGCCAGCAGCCGCGGUAAUACGUAGGGGGCAAGCGUUGUCCGGAAUCAUUGGGCGUAAAGCGCGUGUAGGCGGCUCAGUAAGUCCGCUCUGAAAGCCCGGGGCUCAACCCCGGGAGGCGGGUGGAUACUGCUGAGCUCGAGUCCGGAAGAGGAGUGUGGAAUUCCUGGUGUAGCGGUGAAAUGCGCAGAUAUCAGGAGGAACACCAACGGCGAAGGCAGCACUCUGGGACGGUACUGACGCUGAGACGCGAAAGCGUGGGGAGCAAACAGGAUUAGAUACCCUGGUAGUCCACGCCGUAAACGAUGGGCACUAGGUGUGGGGGGUGUCGACUCCCUCCGUGCCGAAGCUAACGCAUUAAGUGCCCCGCCUGGGGGAGUACGGCCGCAAGGCUAAAACUCAAAGGAAUUGACGGGGGCCCGCACAAGCAGCGGAGCAUGUGGUUUAAUUCGACGCAACGCGAAGAACCUUACCCGGGCUUGACAUGUGCCUGACAGCCCUGGAAACAGGGUCUCCCUUCGGGGCAGGUUCACAGGUGGUGCAUGGCUGCCGUCAGCUCGUGUCGUGAGAUGUUGGGUUAAGUCCCGCAACGAGCGCAACCCCCGUCGCAUGUUGCCAGCAUUUAGUUGGGGACUCAUGCGAGACUGCCGGUGACAAACCGGAGGAAGGUGGGGAUGACGUCAAGUCAUCAUGCCCCUUAUGUCCGGGGCUACACACGUGCUACAUUGGCGCGUACAGAGGGCUGCGAUACCGCGAGGUGGAGCGAAUCCCUCAAAGCGCGUCUCGGUUCGGAUAGCAGGCUGAAACCCGCCUGCUUGAAGGUGGAGUUGCUAGUAAUCGCGGAUCAGCAUUGCCGCGGUGAAUACGUUCCCGGGCCUUGUACACACCGCCCGU
rnacentral:rRNA from 1 species